rnacentral:RNase_P_RNA from 1 species
AUCUGUGGUUGAUCUAUCGCUCUCAUGAAGAUGAGGGAGGAAAGUCCGGACAACGUAGGGUACCGCACCAUCUAACUGAUGGGUCACGCCUCGGCGUGAACAGAAAGUGUCACAGAAAAAUACCGUCCCGCCUUUUUCGCGGGAUAAGGGUGAAAACGUGUGGUAAGAGCGCACGCAUCAGCCGGGUAACCGGCCGGUGGGAUAAACCUUGCGGGUUGAAAUGCCAUGUACACUUCAAUUUCAGAUCUCAAUCGUAUGAGAAAUGCUAUCCUGCGACUCGCGGGAAUGUGUAAACAGUUGAAGGGGGUAGGCAGAUAGAAUCUUUGUCGUAAGGCAAGAUCCAGAUAAAUGAUAGAUAUUCUUCCAAAAGAAGAAGACAGAAUCCGGCUUACAGAUCACAGAUGCAU